CAGACUUUUCCUGUUAGUUGGGGUUUUCAUUUACAUUGAAUUUUUUGUCGUGCAAUUCGAUCUUGUCUGA
rnacentral:tRNA from 1 species